GAUGAACGCUGGCGGCGUGCCUAAUACAUGCAAGUCGAGCGAAUGGAUUAAGAGCUUGCUCUUAUGAAGUUAGCGGCGGACGGGUGAGUAACACGUGGGUAACCUGCCCAUAAGACUGGGAUAACUCCGGGAAACCGGGCUAAUACCGGAUAAUAUUUCGAACUGCAUGGUUCAAAAUUGAAAGGCGGCUUCGGCUGUCGCUUAUGGAUGGACCCGCGUCGCAUUAGCUAGUUGGUGAGGUAACGGCUCACCAAGGCAACGAUGCGUAGCCGACCUGAGAGGGUUAUCGGCCACACUGGGACUGAGACACGGCCCAGACUCCUACGGGAGGCAGCAGUAGGGAAUCUUCCGCAAUGGACGAAAGUCUGACGGAGCAACGCCGCGUGAGUGAUGAAGGCUUUCGGGUCGUAAAACUCUGUUGUUAGGGAAGAACAAGUGCUAGUUGAAUAAGCUGGCACCUUGACGGUACCUAACCAGAAAGCCACGGCUAACUACGUGCCAGCAGCCGCAGUAA
rnacentral:rRNA from 1 species